rnacentral:tRNA from 1 species
UAGCUCAGUUGGUAGAGCAUGGUGUGUGCAAUGCCAGGGUUGUGGGUUCAAUUCCCAC